GACCGUGACGGUACGUGAGUGGUGAGAUAACCCAGUGCGCUGGCGGGCCCCCUGCUUAAGUGCGGCCGACCGCGAGUGCGAUGGGAUAUGCUUCGUUCGUGAAAUCCCAAAAUCAUCGGGGCUCCGUACGAUGCGGAGGGCAUAUUCGGUGGGUUGUAUCGCAUAGUCGGCACGCGGCAACUUGGUGACCCUACGUUAGAAACAUCAUGUCCUCCUCCUCUCUCUCGCCCGCUCCCCUGGGACGGGCGGGAAGCGAGAAGCGACCCCUUACGACGACGUCCCGUGCGUCCUCGGCGACGCUUGCAGUCGCACGUGUGCGUACGUGCUGCCUGCUUCGUCCGUCCGUCCGGACCUCGGGACCGUUGAGUGCUUACGGAUGCGGUGAAUUGGAUGCGGGUCGGGUGGGCGCACGCUGCUGCCGACCCGACCAUCGGAAGGUGUUUGCGCACGCCGCGGCGAGCGGCGGGUAGACGAACGGGACGGAACGGAACGGAAUGAACGACCGCCGGCGGGCGGGCGUGCGUCGUCGUCUCGUCUCCACGAAGGGAGGGAGAGGCGAUGGGCUGCGCCGUCCGCGGGCGUCGUCUCGAAGGGCUCGCUACCUGGUUGAUC
rnacentral:misc_RNA from 1 species